AACAACAAUUCCAUUAAAACGACGAUUCACAAAUCCGAAGACGCCAAUCCCUUGAGCGAAAAGAAAAAAGAAGCAAGGCACAUAGAGCGAAUCCAUGAGAAAAUGCUUGCAGCAGCAACAAAAUCAAGAGUUAUAGCCAUUAUUCACCACGUGCGCACGUUAGCUUUGGCCGCCAGUUCUUUCGCUUUCAGAUCGCCAUGUCCAGAUUUUUGAUGUUUGGAAAUAUAAAGAGAGUUGCAAGGUCGAUCAUUUUGAGCCAGAAAAAUAGCCAAUCUGAAUUGAGGAAGUAUGGGGCGGUAGUUACAGUUGGCUUACAUUUACCCCAUUACAGAUUCUAUGCACAUCAUAGAUUUCCUAGUAGAGGGCAUUCGUCUAUUGGAUUCUGUGGUGUCAAGGAUGAUGUAUGCCGGAAUUGUUUUUCUAGGAAGUACUCUAUUGUGUCGGCAAGUAAUGCAGUAACACAUCAUGCCCAACUUGCUUGGAAAAGGGUUUUCAGAAAAGGUUCUGCCAGUGACCAUACUUUCCCCCACAUAAGCAAGAUUGCUCAAGCAAUCAGCUUGGCUUUGACACGAUCACACCUAGUUGUCCCUGGUGUGUUUGCAAUCACUUGUGGGCAGGUGGCAUGGGCACAGAGAACACUGGCAGAAACAGACUACUACCCAUUACCAAAUUCUUUGUACAUGCGUGCCCAAGAUGGGCGUGCUUAUGUAUUCUCAUUGGUGCUAGCCAUUGUGGAAGGUUUUGUUUUGCUAGUGAGAGCUCUCUAUUUGGGAAUUUUGUUCUCACCUAGCUUAAUAAUGGCACCAUUUGCGGAUUCUUGUGGACCAAAAUUUAGGAAAAUGUGGCUUCAGGUUGUUCAUCGCACCCUGGAAAAAGCAGGUCCAGCAUUCAUAAAAUGGGGUCAAUGGGCAGCAACGCGGCCAGAUUUAUUUGCUAGAGAUUUGUGCACAAAACUUUCAGAGCUACACACCAAAGCUCCUGAACAUAGCUUUGCUUACAC
rnacentral:misc_RNA from 1 species